rnacentral:sRNA from 1 species
CAGAUGUUAACAAAAUAUCACGGGGUG